GACGAACGCUGGCGGCGUGCCUAACACAUGCAAGUCGAGCGAAUGAAGUUCCUUCGGGAAUGGAUUUAGCGGCGGACGGGUGAGUAACACGUGGGCAACCUGCCUCAUAGAGGGGAAUAGCCUUCCGAAAGGGAGAUUAAUACCGCAUAAGAUUGUAGUAUCGCAUGAUACAGCAAUUAAAGGAGCAAUCCGCUAUGAGAUGGGCCCGCGGCGCAUUAGCUAGUUGGUGAGGUAACGGCUCACCAAGGCGACGACGCGUAGCCGACCGGAGAGGGUGAUCGGCCACAUUGGGACUGGGCCACGGCCCAGACUCCUACGGGAGGCAGCAGUGGGGAAUAUUGCACAAUGGGGGAAACCCUGAUGUAGCAACGCCGCGUGAGUGAUGACGGCCUUCGGGUUGUAAAGCUCUGUCUUCAGGGACGAUAAUGACGGUACCUGAGGAGGAAGCCACGGCUAACUACGUG
rnacentral:rRNA from 1 species